rnacentral:rRNA from 1 species
UACGAAGGGGGGCUAGCGUUGCUCGGAAUCACUGGGCGUAAAGGGUGCGUAGGCGGGUCUUUUAAGUCAGGGGGUGAAAUCCUGGAGCUCAACUCCAGAACUGCCUUUGAUACUGAAGAUCUUGAGUUCGGGAGGAUGGAUGAGUGGAACUGCAGUGUAGAGGUGAAAUGCGCAGAUAUCAGGAAGAACACCUAUGGCGAAGGCAGCACUCUGGGACGGUACUGACGCUGAGACGCGAAAGCGUGGGGAGCGAACAGG